UCGUAGGUGACCUGCGGAGGAUCAUUACCGAGUUGAUUCGGGCUCCGUCCCGAUCCUCCCACCCUUUGUAUACCUACCUCUGUUGCUUUGGCGGGCCGCGGUCUUCCGCGGCCGCCCCCCGAUUUUGGGGGGUGGCUAGUGCCCGCCAGAGGACUAUCAAACUCCAGUCAGUAAACGUUGCAGUCUGAAAAAAAUAUUAAAUAAACUAAAACUUUCAACAACGGAUCUCUUGGUUCUGGCAUCGAUGAAGAACGCAGCGAAAUGCGAUAAGUAAUGUGAAUUGCAGAAUUCAGUGAAUCAUCGAAUCUUUGAACGCACAUUGCGCCCCUUGGUAUUCCGGGGGGCAUGCCUGUUCGAGCGUCAUUUCAACCCUCAAGCUCUGCUUGGUAUUGGGCACCGUCCUUUGCGGGCGCGCCUCAAAGACCUCGGCGGUGGCGUCUUGCCUCAAGCGUAGUAAAAUACACCUCGCUUCGGAGCGUAAGGCGUCGCCCGCCGGACGAACCUUCUGAACUUUUCUCAAGGUUGACCUCGGAUCAGGUAGGGAUACCCGCUGAACUUAAGCAUAUCA
rnacentral:rRNA from 1 species